UAUAAUUAGCUCGAUUGGGAUUUGGACUAUAGGAAUAAACUUUCAGGAAGUAGCGUACUUCUGAACAAUUUAACACUAUCGUUUUGGAUUUCAGGAAGCUGCUUAUGAUGCUGACAAAGUGUUCUUGGCUGCAAUUGACAAAUUUGAUGCCAUGUUGUCCAAAGGCAAUGUCUACGCACCAGAUGCCUUGUAUAGAUGGGGUGUGGUAUUGCAGCAGAGAUCGCGUUUACAGCCAACUAAUAGCAGAGAGAAAGUGAAGGUGCUGCGACAGGCAAGGAGGCUAUAUGAAGAUGCAUAGCAAUCUUCAAGUAAGAGAAGCCUUGUUGUCAUGUCUGUCUGAGUUUAAUCUUAGGCUCUUGUGAUCACUUUGAAGCAGGAGUUGAUUGUUUCAAUGCCUUCAUUCUUUCUAGUUUUUAGUUCACCAGCUAGGUUGUAUUCUAUGUAUAAAGCUUAACACCCAGAUAAGAAAAUAAAACGGAUAGGGUCUUCCUAA